GCCCGCUAAGCUUAAAGGUU
rnacentral:tRNA from 1 species